GUGAACCAGUACCGUGAGGGAAAGGCGAAAAGAACCCCGGCGAGGGGAGUGAAAAAGAACCUGAAACCGUGUACGUACAAGCAGUGGGAGCACAGAGCAAUCUGUGUGACUGCGUACCUUUUGUAUAAUGGGUCAGCGACUUAUAUUCUGUAGCAAGGUUAACCGAAUAGGGGAGCCGAAGGGAAACCGAGUCUUAACUGGGCGUUAAGUUGCAGGGUAUAGACCCGAAACCCGGUGAUCUAGCCAUGGGCAGGUUGAAGGUUGGGUAACACUAACUGGAGGACCGAACCGACUAAUGUUGAAAAAUUAGCGGAUGACUUGUGGCUGGGGGUGAAAGGCCAAUCAAACCGGGAGAUAGCUGGUUCUCCCCGAAAGCUAUUUAGGUAGCGCCUCGUGAAUUCAUCUCCGGGGGUAGAGCACUGUUUCGGCAAGGGGGUCAUCCCGACUUACCAACCCGAUGCAAACUGCGAAUACCGGAGAAUGUUAUCACGGGAGACACACGGCGGGUGCUAACGUCCGUCGUGAAGAGGGAAACAACCCAGACCGCCAGCUAAGGUCCCAAAGUCAUGGUUAAGUGGGAAACGAUGUGGGAAGGCCCAGACAGCCAGGAUGUUGGCUUAGAAGCAGCCAUCAUUUAAAGAAAGCGUAAUAGCUCACUGGUCGAGUCGGCCUGCGCGGAAGAUGUAACGGGGCUAAACCAUGCACCGAAGCUGCGGCAGCGACACUGUGUGUUGUUGGGUAGGGGAGCGUUCUGUAAGCCUGUGAAGGUGUGCUGUGAGGCAUGCUGGAGGUAUCAGAAGUGCGAAUGCUGACAUAAGUAACGAUAAAGCGGGUGAAAAGCCCGCUCGCCGGAAGACCAAGGGUUCCUGUCCAACGUUAAUCGGGGCAGGGUGAGUCGACCCCUAAGGCGAGGCCGAAAGGCGUAGUCGAUGGGAAACAGGUUAAUAUUCCUGUACUUGGUGUUACUGCGAAGGGGGGACGGAGAAGGCUAUGUUGGCCGGGCGACGGUUGUCCCGGUUUAAGCGUGUAGGCUGGUUUUCCAGGCAAAUCCGGAAAAUCAAGGCUGAGGCGUGAUGACGAGGCACUACGGUGCUGAAGCAACAAAUGCCCUGCUUCCAGGAAAAGCCUCUAAGCAUCAGGUAACAUCAAAUCGUACCCCAAACCGACACAGGUGGUCAGGUAGAGAAUACCAAGGCGCUUGAGAGAACUCGGGUGAAGGAACUAGGCAAAAUGGUGCCGUAACUUCGGGAGAAGGCACGCUGAUAUGUAGGUGAAGUCCCUCGCGGAUGGAGCUGAAAUCAGUCGAAGAUACCAGCUGGCUGCAACUGUUUAUUAAAAACACAGCACUGUGCAAACACGAAAGUGGACGUAUACGGUGUGACGCCUGCCCGGUGCCGGAAGGUUAAUUGAUGGGGUCAGCGCAAGCGAAGCUCUUGAUCGAAGCCCCGGUAAACGGCGGCCGUAACUAUAACGGUCCUAAGGUAGCGAAAUUCCUUGUCGGGUAAGUUCCGACCUGCACGAAUGGCGUAAUGAUGGCCAGGCUGUCUCCACCCGAGACUCAGUGAAAUUGAACUCGCUGUGAAGAUGCAGUGUACCCGCGGCAAGACGGAAAGACCCCGUGAACCUUUACUAUAGCUUGACACUGAACAUUGAGCCUUGAUGUGUAGGAUAGGUGGGAGGCUUUGAAGUGUGGACGCCAGUCUGCAUGGAGCCGACCUUGAAAUACCACCCUUUAAUGUUUGAUGUUCUAACGUGGACCCGUGAUCCGGGUUGCGGACAGUGUCUGGUGGGUAGUUUGACUGGGGCGGUCUCCUCCUAAAGAGUAACGGAGGAGCACGAAGGUUGGCUAAUCCUGGUCGGACAUCAGGAGGUUAGUGCAAUGGCAUAAGCCAGCUUGACUGCGAGCGUGACGGCGCGAGCAGGUGCGAAAGCAGGUCAUAGUGAUCCGGUGGUUCUGAAUGGAAGGGCCAUCGCUCAACGGAUAAAAGGUACUCCGGGGAUAACAGGCUGAUACCGCCCAAGAGUUCAUAUCGACGGCGGUGUUUGGCACCUCGAUGUCGGCUCAUCACAUCCUGGGGCUGAAGUAGGUCCCAAGGGUAUGGCUGUUCGCCAUUUAAAGUGGUACGCGAGCUGGGUUUAGAACGUCGUGAGACAGUUCGGUCCCUAUCUGCCGUGGGCGCUGGAGAACUGAGGGGGGCUGCUCCUAGUACGAGAGGACCGGAGUGGACGCAUCACUGGUGUUCGGGUUGUCAUGCCAAUGGCACUGCCCGGUAGCUAAAUGCGGAAGAGAUAAGUGCUGAAAGCAUCUAAGCACGAAACUUGCCCCGAGAUGAGUUCUCCCUGACCCUUUAAGGGUCCUGAAGGAACGUUGAAGACGACGACGUUGAUAGGCCGGGUGUGUAAGCGCAGCGAUGCGUUGAGCUAACCGGUACUAAUGAACCGUGAGGCUUAACCUU
rnacentral:rRNA from 1 species